ACCUGGCUGGCUCAGUGGGUAGAGCAUGUGACUCUUGAUCUUGGGGUCAUGUGUUCAAGCCCCAUGUUGGGCA
rnacentral:tRNA from 1 species